CCCAACCCUACAUACUUCUUCAUAUGCCCAUAUGGAGUCAGCCGGCAUUAUGGAAUGUUUAGAAGUAUGUAUUUUUGGG
rnacentral:pre_miRNA from 1 species